rnacentral:rRNA from 1 species
ACUCCUACGGGAGGCAGCAGUGGGGAAUAUUGCACAAUGGGCGAAAGCCUGAUGCAGCGACGCCGCGUGCGGGAUGAAGGCUCUAGGGUUGUAAACCGCUUUCAGCAGGGAUGAGGCCGAAAGGUGACAGUACCUGCAGAAGAAGCCCCGGCUAACUACGUGCCAGCAGCCGCGGUAAU